ACGAACGCUGGCGGCGUGCUUAACACAUGCAAGUCGAACGAUGAAGCCCUUCGGGGUGGAUUAGUGGCGAACGGGUGAGUAACACGUGGGCAAUCUGCCCUUCACUCUGGGACAAGCCCUGGAAACGGGGUCUAAUACCGGAUAACACUCCUGCCUGCAUGGGUGGGGGUUAAAAGCUCCGGCGGUGAAGGAUGAGCCCGCGGCCUAUCAGCUUGUUGGUGGGGUAAUGGCCCACCAAGGCGACGACGGGUAGCCG
rnacentral:rRNA from 3 species